rnacentral:rRNA from 1 species
GGUAUGGGAUGAGCUUGCGUCCGAUUAGCUAGUUGGCGGGGCAACGGCCCACCAAGGCGACGAUCGGUAGCCGGCCUGAGAGGGUGAUCGGCCACAUUGGGACUGAGAUACGGCCCAGACUCCUACGGGAGGCAGCAGUAGGGAAUAUUGCACAAUGGGGGAAACCCUGAUGCAGCAACGCCACGUGUGGGAAGAAGCAUUUCGGUGUGUAAACCACUGUCGUGAGGGAAUAAGGCGUCUUCUCGGAGGCGUUGAAUGUACCUCGAAAGGAAGCACCGGCAAACUUCGUGCCAGCAGCCGCGGUAAUACGAGGGGUGCAAGCGUUGUUCGGAAUCACUGGGCGUAAAGGGAGCGUAGGCGGAGAUGCAAGCGGACUGUACAAUACCGGGGCCCAACCCCGGGCCUGCGGUUCGGACUGCACCUCUUGGAUAGUUCAGGGGCAGGC